rnacentral:rRNA from 1 species
GGGGAAUUUUGCGCAAUGGGGGAAACCCUGACGCAGCAACGCCGCGUGGGUGAUGAAGGCCUUCGGGUCGUAAAGCCCUGUCGGGAGGGAAGAAAUGAUUGAGGGUUAAUACCUCUUGAUCUUGACGGUACCUCCGAAGGAAGCACCGGCUAACUCCGUGCCAGCAGCCGCGGUAAUACGGAGGGUGCGAGCGUUAAUCGGAAUUACUGGGCGUAAAGCGUGCGCAGGCGGUUUGUUAAGCGAGAUGUGAAAGCCCCGGGCUCAACCUGGGAAGUGCAUUGGAAACUGGGAGACUUGAGUACGGGAGAGGAGAGUGGAAUUCCUAGUGUAGGAGUGAAAUCCGUAGAUAUUAGGAGGAACACCGGUGGCGAAGGCGGCUCUCUGGACCGAUACUGACGCUGAGACGCGAAAGCGUGGGUAGCAAAC